UCGGGAGGUCAUGGUGCGAGCCGAUCCCCCUUUCUCCGCAUCUGUCCUCCUCCCCGACCUCUCGCCACCGCCAUCGACCUCGAAACUCUCUGCUAGAAGAUCUCUCCACGGCGACGCCUCACGUUCUUCCUCCGGUCGCCCGACGCCUUCGUCAUCUACGGGGUCUGAAGAACCCUAACGCGUUCUUGCUCCGGUUUCUUUCUCCGUCUAACCUUUUCUUGGAUGCAGCGGACGAACUGGUGGGCGCAGUGCUGGGAGUCAGUACGAGUUCCAAGAUCGAUGUCCAAGAUCCAUCUUGGACAUGUUGGUCCGGGAUCAACGUUCUCUUCCUAUACCAGACGACGGGAUCGCUUUAGAUUUAAGAACGAGUAGGCGAUUUGUAGUUUCUCCUUCUAAAACGAGAUAGAGAGAUGCUUCUUAUAAAGGGCAGGAGUAAUCUUGAAUCCUGGCCGACAGAGUAAAGAUUGGGGCUAGAAGAAGACGCGACAGAAUGCAGUCGAGAUUGAGGAUCAUCAUGCUUGAUCAUAAAUGGAGAUACAACAUUUGGUAGCUCCGACGAGAGGAACCAUAAACUAAUUGUUCUGUUGUUCAACAAAACUUUGAUGGAAUAAUUAGCCACGGAGUUUACUUCUUUCUUUUGCAUUCAUCUGGAGUCGCUGACUUACGUUUUGGUGAGAAGAUGGGAUCAGAGCAGGGUGGUACGUUGCACAUGAAAACUUGGAGUUGGUAGUAAGUUCCCCUCCUUUAUGGAUUAAUGGUAUGCAUUCGGGCAAUCCCUUUUCUUGUGAACUAUGAGUAUUUUGAAUCAGGGAAUAAGUUGAAGUGGUUGGAUCAUCCCUAA